AAGAGAAUGAAAAUAACAGAGAAAUUAUUGUGCACUCAAAAUUUUACAGCAAAUAUCGAGCUAAUUGGUGUCGGAAAACAAUUGUUUUAAAAUAAAAAAUUCUGGCGAUACUGGUAAGGUAUUUUCCUUAGAAACGUCAAUUUAUUGACCCGUGAGUGACAAGGCCAGAAGGGGAGCCAUUCGCCGUAUCCGUGAUCUCAGUGUAGCUGGACAGCUACCAAAAUUUAUCGUGCACGAAGCCGCGUGAUACCGCUACUGAAACCUGGGAACGACACGAGCAAGGGGAAGUCUCCCAUCACCAAGACGCAUGACGGAUUACUCCUCCCGAUCCUCCCGUUGGACAAUCUCCAUUCGCCAAGCAUUAGCAUGCAUUCCGAAGGCUGCAUAGGACUACUACUGCUUUACAUCCCAUCAACGCACACAAAAGUAGAAACAGCGUUCUCAAGCCCCUUGUCGGUAGCACUUGGUGUGCUGACAAAGAAACCUUGGACUAACCACCUAAUGGUUUUGGAUAUUGUGGCUGAACAAAUUGCAGAGACCACUGAUGUAAGACUAAGGAAGAUUCUAUUGGUCAUGUGACGUCUACGGACACUUUGUUAUCAUUGAAGAUAUCCGUAUUCGUUCACAAUCGGCAGACUAAUUUUUCCAAUCCCACAAUCGUCACUUUUAACUGUCCAGCCAGACACACUCAAUUCCAUGGCAGCAUCUCCUUUCCUUAACAAAUUCACAGGAACGGUAUUGGUCUCAUCGUAGCUCUCCGAUGAUGCACGAUCACGUAUACACAUACGUACCCAAAUUUAUUUGUGUGUGUUGACAAAACGCCGAUCAGCUUUAUGACAAGAUGGCGAAUUGCACCAUAUGAUUUGUGGUUGUUGUACAAAUGAGACCACCUUUAAUUGUUUCGCCAUGAGCAAAUAAGUAGAUCAAUAAAUCAUUGUGAAGUAAAGUAAUUGUAAA